GAUGAACGCUAGCGGCAGGCUUAACACAUGCAAGUCGAGGGGCAGCAGGACGGUAGCAAUACCGUUGCUGGCGACCGGCAAACGGGUGCGGAACACGUACGCAACCUACCCAUAACUGGGGGAUAGCCCGGGGAAACCCGGAUUAAUACCUCGUAACCUUAUGAAGUGGCAUCGCUUUAUAAGCAUAGCUCCGGCGGUUAUGGAUGGGCGUGCGCCUGAUUAGGUAGUUGGCGGGGUAACGGCCCACCAAGCCUGCGAUCAGUAACUGGUGUGAGAGCACGACCAGUCACACGGGCACUGAGACACGGGCCCGACUCCUACGGGAGGCAGCAGUAAGGAAUAUUGGUCAAUGGACGCAAGUCUGAACCAGCCAUGCCGCGUGAAGGAUGAAGGUCCUCUGGAUUGUAAACUUCUUUUAUAGGGGAAGAAAUCUGAAUAUUCCUAUUCAGUUGACGGUACCCUAGGAAUAAGCACCGGCUAACUCCGUGCCAGCCGCCGCGGUAAAAC
rnacentral:rRNA from 1 species